rnacentral:tRNA from 1 species
GGGGCUGUGACUCAGUGGUACAGCACUUGCCUCACAUGUAUGAGGCACUGGGUUAGAUACUCAGCACCACA